rnacentral:rRNA from 1 species
UACAGAGGUCUCAAGCGUUGUUCGGAUUCAUUGGGCGUAAAGGGUGCGUAGGCGGCGCGGUAAGUCGGGUGUGAAAUCUCGGAGCUUAACUCCGAAACUGCAUUCGAUACUGCCGUGCUUGAGGACUGGAGAGGAGACUGGAAUUUACGGUGUAGCGGUGAAAUGUGUAGAGAUCGGGAGGAACACCGGUGGCGAAGGCGGCCUGCUGGGCAGUUGCUGACACUGAGGCGCGACAGCGUGGGGAGCAAACAGG